GGACACAGUGGGGUUUUUCCAGUGAUACAGCUCAGACACCACAGCCAGGCUCACCCAGCUCCUGGCACCUGUGAUUGAAAUCAAUCCGAGCUCUGUAGCUCAGUUCCUGUGCUCGUGCUUCAGGACAAACUCGGUACCACUGUACAUCCCAGGGAACAGAUGGAUUUUUCUUUUUAAUUAGGAGCUGCUGCAGAAGAUGAACUGGGAUACAAAGCAGAUUCCCAUCUUCUUUCCUUCUGGGGGUGCUGGGCAUAGGAACAGGUGUUGUAGCAGUAACACAACACAAAGGGCUCUCACAGGACGUGCAUCAGAAAAACAGCAGAAUAAAAAGAGUAAACAAUAAAUCAUUCCUGGACGAGGGAGCUCUGAACUCAAAAAUCUUGACAUGGAGAUGUUAUCUGAGUGUCACUCAGUUGUUGUCUCUAAGCAAUAGCAUCCCUGCUCAGCACCACGUGCAGUGAAUAACCACUGAUGUUUGUUCUGCUGUUCCUCUGACAGCUUCCACUCCCCAGGAACACAUCCCACUGCUGCAGGUCUGCCUUGCUUCACAAUCUGACCAUCCCUGCUGAGGGUUGCUGCUUUGGACACCUUCCACUAUCCCAUGUUGCUCCAAGCCCUGUCCAACCUGGUUUUGAACAUUUCCAGUUUGAUUGCUGAGUCCAAACAUUUGUAAGGGAAAAAAUAUUUCCAUCUACACAUCAGCAAUGAUCUACCCAGUGGCACAGGAGAGAAACAAAAAGCUGAUUUUUCCCUUGCCACAACCCCAGCUGUAAGAAAUGUGAACAAUGAAGCACAGAGCACCACACAAGUUCCAAAACAAACAAGUUUACAUGCAGACAGGCUUGAGGCCAGCUAAGCUGACACAAUCUGUAUCACAUAUGAGAAGCUUUGCCAGGGAAUUUGAAGCCAAUCUUUGCUCCCAUUUUUAAGCAGAAAAUCCUUAUGUCAAAGAAAAAAACUGUAGAGAAAAGCAUGGACUGAGUAUUUGGGGCUAAAGGCAUAAAAAUAAACCUGCACCACUGAAUAGUGGA